CCUCACCUGGACGCGGGAACACUGCCGUGGAGGAGGAGGAGGAGAUGGAGUUCCUGUACGAUUGUGGCGCCACUGCCGUCGUCGCGGAUGUGGCAGCCGCGCUCGCGAGCACCGGCGGUAUCCAGGCGUCCUCUCCCUCUGUCGUCGCCUCCGAGAGAGGUACCGGAACGGCGAGCUGAAGAGGGCUCUUUCCGAGGCUGAAGCCUACGCCUUCAAGCUUUCUAGAAGAUGGCAUUAGGCAGUGUUCUUUCCGAUGGAGACAACUUCUGAUGCUACCUAGAUUGGCCGAUCUACUUUUUUUAUCAGCGACGCUACUAUCUAUUUCAUGAGGAUGCACUUGGCAGAUCUGUAAGAUCGCAAUGUUCAGCCUGGCUUCUAUCUUUGAUCUGCUAUGUAAUAGUUUUUUCGUUGGUAUAAAACUGCAAGUUAUCCGAAUUGUGCUGCUAAAACAAAGUUCUCGAUAUAAGUUACCUAUAAUCAUCCGGCGUGGCUUAUAUAAUAUUUUGAUAGUAUGACUCAUGGCACAGUGGAUCUAAUACUUCUGUUUGGAAAAGAAGCAAUAGAGAAAAUUAAUUUGCUAGAUUUGAAAAGCACAACCCGGUAUUUAGUGU